rnacentral:rRNA from 1 species
AUUGAACGCUGGCGGCAGGCCUAACACAUGCAAGUCGAGCGGAUGAUGGGAGCUUGCUCCUUGAUUCAGCGGCGGACGGGUGAGUAAUGCCUAGGAAUCUGCCUGGUAGUGGGGGACAACGUUUCGAAAGGAACGCUAAUACCGCAUACGUCCUACGGGAGAAAGCAGGGGACCUUCGGGCCUUGCGCUAUCAGAUGAGCCUAGGUCGGAUUAGCUAGUUGGUGGGGUAAUGGCUCACCAAGGCGAGGAUCCGUAACUGGUCUGAGAGGAUGCUCAGUCACACUGGAACAGAGACACGGUCCAGACUCCUACGGGAGGCAGCAGUGGGGAAUAUUGGACAAUGGGCGAAAGCCUGAUCCAGCCAUGCCGCGUGUGUGAAGAAGGUCUUCGGAUUGUAAAGCACUUUAAGUUGGGAGGAAGGGCAGUAAGUUAAUACCUUGCUGUUUUGACGUUACCGACAGAAUAAGCACCGGCUAACUCUGUGCCAGCAGCCGCGGUAACAC